CCUUCUUCUAGAAAUAUUGCAGGUGUGACUGCUAUGUCACAUGUGCAUCUGUAGGUGGCAGAGAGGAGAGAGGUUAUGUCUACACUCAGUGUUCUGAACCAUAAACAUCUCAAUGAUUAGCAACCUUAGAAU